rnacentral:rRNA from 1 species
GACGAACGCUGGCGGCGUGGAUUAGGCAUGCAAGUCGAACGGUAUCAUCCUUUCGGGGGUGAGAGAGUGGCGAACUGGUGAGUAACACGUAGGUUAUCUACCCUCAAGACGGGGACAACCCAGGGAAACUUGGGCUAAUACCGGAUGUGAGCAACUUUUAGUUGUUUGAAAGGUGGCGUAAGCUGUCGCUUGGGGAUGAGCCUGCGUCCUAUUAGUUAGUUGGUGAGGUAACGGCUCACCUAGGCAAUGAUAGGUAGGCGGCCUUAACGGGUGGUCGCCCACACUGGGAUUGAGAUACGGCCCAGACUCCUACGGGAGGCAGCAGUCGAGAAUAGUCUACAAUGGUCGGAAGACUGAUAGUGCGACGCCGCGUGAACGAUGAAUCCCUUCGGGGUGUAAAGUUCUUUUAUAUGUGAGCAGUGCUUUCUUAUAUUAACAGUAUGGGGGAGAGAGAUAUUAGCAUAUGAAUAAGCAACGGCUAACUCCGUGCCAGCAGCCGCGGUAAAACGU